rnacentral:tRNA from 1 species
AAUCGAAGUAGAGUAAAUGGUGAACUCAUUAGACUCAUGUUCUAAAGUUAUUGGUUCAAAUCCAAUCUUCGUA